rnacentral:lncRNA from 10 species
AAUGAAACCCCGUCUCCACUAAAAACACAAAAAUUAACCAGGUGUGGUGGUGGGUGCCUGUAAUCACAGUUACUUGAGAGGCUGUGGCAGGAGAAUCGCUUGAACCUGGGAGGUGGAGGUUGCAGUGAGCCAAGAUAGCACCACUGCACUCCAGCCUGGGUGACAAGGUGAGACUCUGUAUCAAAAAAAAAAAAAAAAAAAAAAAAAAGAAAAUGGCAUUUUGUAAUUAUAAAGAUGUAUUUAUAAAGAUAUAAAGGAUCCUAAUUUGUAAUCCCCCCAAAAUCACACCUCAAUUCCAUUUCUUCUCUCACAGCUCCUUUCUCCAUUCAUACUUCCUGUCUCUUCAUUGAGGAAUAAAACAUCCUGGUUUAAGCUCAGAACAUAGGAAUGAAAAUAGGGAAGAAAAUAUGUGAACAAUGCACAGUGUUCUCUCCAAAAUGGCAAGAACGUCAUCUCCUAGAAAAGCACUCAGAAGUCCUUGGCCUUUGGGAAAAAAGAGCUUGCGGAAGAUGACAUUGGUUCAUUGUCCUUAAAAGGCAGAACAGGCCUCCCACUAUUGAAAACAGCUCAUUCCCUUCCACACCUGGUCCUCAGAUCAUGCUUGGGUGCCCAGGCUCCUGUGCUUAAUCUUUCUUAACUGGAUCAUCAGUGCUUGGGAAAUGGGCAGGAUAACAAUUUAAAGAGAUAAUUGAC